GCAGAUCAUUAUACGGAAUCUCGAAGCGUGCGCCGCAUUUAACUUUAUUUGUGUGAGCUUUAUUUCUGCCCGAAUUACUUCGUACCCUUUUGUCGCGAUGGUGAUACGAGUACCUCUACCUACCAUGUUGAAGAUCUUCAAGAUCCAGAAAGGAAAAUUUUGUGGGUUCGAAUGUUCCUUGAGAACUGGCGCGAUGAUCGUUUUGACUACCGAUUUGGUUGUUUGUGAAUAUCUUCAAAGCUCGAAAAAUUCAAUUUUUAAUGUCGUGUUCUUAAUUGCUGGGUGGAGUUCUUUAGUCGCUGCUCUCUGUGGCGCAAUGAAGAAUCAAUCCCUAUUGCUCAUACCUUACGUAGCCGUGAAGCUGUUUUAUAUUAUGGUGUUCCUAUUAUUAACAAUAAUAUCAGCUCAAUCAGUCGCUGUGACAGGGCUAGUACUGUUCCUUGGUGCAUUUGCAAUCAUUGCUGAGAGUAUUUCAAUCGUUGGUCUUUAUGGUGUAAUGAAGGAGAAACCCGCAUUGCAGAAACCUUACGUUGUGGUGCAGAUGCUGUACUUGCUAUAUCUUAUAGUCGCUUUUUUUGUGAUGCCAAUUCUCUUCUAUACAGUUGACGACUUGAUGGGAGUUCGCCGAACAUUGGGCAAUGCCUUCGGUCUUGUCCUAAUACUGAUUGAAAGUAUACUCGGCAUCCUUGUUGGCGUCUUUUACAUCAAAUUCAUUGUCGUGCUGAGCUACUAUUACAAGGAAUGACAAUCAAAAUAUCGGAUAAUGGACACUGAAUACGCGACUUCUAAUUGAAAUCCAACCUAUAUCUCCAGUAACAACUGUACAAAAAUAUUCAUGCUAAGAUUAAAUUAUUUCUUAGUGUCAGUUGAAAAAUUCUGUCAAUAUUUCAAAUCAAUUAUUGAACGUUUUGAAAAAAUACAACACAAUCAUUACUUGAUCCUAACUUAUUAUUCAUCUGCAAGAAUCGAUUUAAGUAAGGUACCAAACUAAAUAUAAACUUAUACUCAUAAAAUGAUAAAAAUAAUCCUUGCAGGUAAAUCACUUUUAAGUAUCAUCAAGUUGUACAUGUAUAAGGAUAAACAGACAGAGGCUCACUCAUUAGCUCAUAUCCCACGCGAAAAAAUACCAAUGGUCUUUCUAUUUUUUUGGGUACCACUCAUGACGAUUGGUAUUUUCGACCAUCUGAACAAAUUCUCCCAAAAAAUGUAUGCGUCAAUUUUUUUCCUUUUAAAACCGCUAUUUGCCCGCUCUAUAAUAUGUAUUUUUUUUUUUUUUUCGUUUCCCAUUAUAGGUAUUCCGUUCCGUUGAACCGAGCAGCGAUUAAUGAAAAUUUCCCAGCAUUCAAAAGUAAAUGAUAAUACAAAUUCUCAAAAAAAAAAAAAAAAAACUUUUACUUAAUGUUAGGUUUGCCAAAAAUAACAAAACAGUCAUCUUAUCAACUGCGGCUUUAGUCAUUCGUUUAGAGUAGGGGAAUUACGUAAAUGUGAUUACUGAUUACAGCAUCAGCACAAUACGUCGCGUCGUAUAAGAGCUUUUGCAAAUUGUAGAAGAUCAUUAAUGGAAUCUCGAAACGUGCACCGCGUUACGUUAACUUCAUUUGCGCGAGCUUUAUUUCUGUCCGAAUAAUUUCGUAAUUCUUGUCGUGAUAACUAGAGACCGACCAGUUGAAGAUGUUCAGGGUUGAGGAAGUUAAAAUUCGUGAUCUCGACUUGUCCAUGAGACCUAGCGUCCUUAUGGUUGCCGAUAUAAUGUUUGGUGGAUACUUUGAAUAUCUCGAAUAUCGUAGAUAUAAUCAAAGCGUGCAUGAAGGCAUGUUCCUAAUUGCUGGAUGGAGUUUUUUAAUAGCUGCUCUCUAUGGUAUAAAGAAGAAUCAACCCCACAUGCUGAAACCUUGCGUAGCAGUGAACCUGCUUUAUAUAGUGGGUUCUACAAUAAAAAUGUUACCAGUAUUAUCAAAUCAGUCAGAUCAAUCAGUCUUUUGGGUGGGCCCAUUCCUGGUUAAUUCGGCAUUUCCAUUCAUUAAGGCGAGUGCUACAGUCGUUGGUCUUUAUGGCGCAAUGAAGGAGAAACUCGCAUUGCAGAUACCUUACUUAGUGGUGGGAGUGCCGAGUUUGGUAGUUACUAUACUCAGUACUAUGAUGCAAAUUUUAAACGAUGAUGUUAACAUAGUACUAUUAAACCGCAUUGUAUUAACAGUCGCAUUAGUCGUGAUGCUCGUUUUUGCCGCCGGCAUCGGUUACUUCAAGUUCAUUGUCACGCUGAAGUAUUUCAAGGAAUGCAAAUUAAAAUACCUAUCGGAUUUUGGAAGAUGAAUUCACGACUUCGACUUGAACUCCAUCCUAGAUCUUCAAUAUGUUUUAAUACCUUCUUCAAGUUACUUGUAUUGAAUUAUUUGCAUUUUGAUUAUAGUACCUACAUCCAUUUAUACAUACCUACAAUUGAAAAAAAUAAGAUUUCGUCAAAGAAAUGUACUUAUACGACUGUACAAAAAUAUUUAUUUUUAGAUUUUGUGUAAAGUACAAUAAUGUGAAAAAAUUAAUUUGAAGUGCAUAGAUAAUUUAUUUUUUAUACUGUUGUAUGUAAUAAACAUCGAAGAUGUUAAAAAUUCCAAAGGUGGAAAGUUGUUGCGGCUUGAGAACUCACGCCUUGACAAUGUUAACAAUGUUUCAUGCAUUUAUUUUUUCAUUUUUUUCCAGAUUUCACUAAAAUUUCAUUAAAUUUCAAUGCUUUUUAAAAAAUAUGUAACAUUUUUGUACUUAUUUUCACCUUUUUUUUUUUUUUUUGCCAAACUUCAGUAUAAAAUUACACUAGUUUUUGGUGAGUUACCAUCUACGGUGAUUUUAAUGCUUCCAGUUGUGUGUAAAAGCCCGAGGGAUGCGAGGCAGAAGCUUUUGAUAAUUCAUAUUUACUGAGAAGUAAAGUAUCAUAUUAUUUACGAUGUGUGGAGCCAAUUUUUCUACUCUCUUAAUUAGAUCAGAAGAACGGAAAUCAAUUUGACAAUUUUAAUUUUGUGGAUUGGUAGGAAGUGGUUUGAACCACUUUUUAAAAAGUGAAGUCAGAAACACAAAUAUCGAAUAAAAAACUUAUUUGAAUUUUUUUCAUUGAUUGUAUGUUAUGGGAAUUUAUCGAGUUGUUUUUUACAUCUGUGAAAUGUUUUUAAAAAAUUCGCAGUAGAAUCCACAUCUGUGCGAGCGAAGCGAGGACCAAGGCGUAGAAAAAAUUGACAAUUUGAAACACUCGUAUAAACGCGACCAUAAUCAUUGUUUAGAGUGGGGGAAUUACGUCGUACGAUACAAUGUGAUUACUUGGAGCAAAUUUCACUCUAUAAGUACCUAACAGCAUCUGCACAUUAAGUAGUUAUUAUGUAUAACAGCUAUUGCAAAUUGUAAGAUAGCAGAUCAUUAUUAUUAUGAAAUGAUAUCGAAACGUGCACCGUGUUUUACGUUACUUUAUUUUGUAUUCGAGUUCAAUUUCUUUCCGAAUUAUUUUUAAUUGAAGAUGUUGAGGAUUCAGAAAGUAAAAUUUUGCGGUUUCGAGUGUUCUUUGAGAACUGGCACGUUGAUCGUUUUGACUAUUGAUUUGGUUUUCAGAGAACGUCGUGAUUAUCUUGAAUAUCUUAAAAACCAGUUUCAACAUCGUUAUGAAUAUCAUCAAAACUCGUAUAGUUCAAUUUCUGGAAUCGUCUUCUUAAUUGCUGGAUGCUCUUUAAUCGCUGCUUUCUGCGGUGCACUGAAGAAUCAAUCCUUAUUGCUGAUACCUUACGUAGUCGUGAAGCUGUAUUAUGAAGUAUGUUGGAAAAUCCUAAUGCUACCGACAUAUUCAAAAAUAUUAGAUGAAUCAGUCUCUUGUGCGAACCUAUUCCUGUUUAUUCAGGCUUUUUCAUUCAUUGAGUGGAGUGUUACAGUCCUUGGUCUUUAUGGUAUAACGAAGAAGAAACCCGCAUUGCAGAUACCUUACUUAGUGGUGGAGAUGCUGAAUUCGAUAUUUUGUAUACUCGCAAUUUUUGUUAUACCAAUUGUCCUGUAUACAAGUGAAGAUUUUAUACUACUUCUCCAAUUACAUGAGCGCAUCUCAGGUCCCGUCUUGAUAGAGAAUGAUAUUGUAAACGGCAUUCUCUUCGGCAUCUUUUACGUCAAAUUCAUCAUCGCGCUGAGCUAUUACAAGGAAUGCCGAUUAAAAUAUCGGGUUGUGGACACUGAAUUAUCGACUAUAAAUUGAACUUCAACCUAGAUCUUCGGUACGUGUUGUUUAUAUCUACAUCAAGUUACUUACUCGUAUACAUUGCAUUUUGAUAAUUUGUACCUACCUACCUAACUACAUUAAUUUAUACGAUUGAAAAAAAUCAUAUUUCGUCUAAUAAAUGUACCUAUAGGUACCUACUUGUGAAUUUUUUUGCCAAACUCUAAAAUUUCACCAGUUCUUGUGUUUAUAAGAGGUUUAAAAUUUUCAACAAUGUUUCAGAUGCUAUAACUUAAAUUUUGAAGUAAUUUUAACCAUAGUCUGUCUGUAGAUAUUAGGUUAGUUUAGUUGAAUUUAUAACAACUUGAAAAAUUCUGUCAAUAUUUUAUGUAAAUAAGUAUUGUUGAAUGUUCUGA